AUGUAGAAUAAGAUUGCAACAGAAAAUAGGGUUAUCAGGUUGAGGCGUCACCACCUUGUGUGGCUUAGUAUUGUUGAAGAGCUUGAACGUUUGCAGGCUCUCCUACAUAGACAAUGUUUUCUUUAUCUAAAUAGAUUUUCUUUUUUCAAUUUACAAGAACAAAAAGUAGACACACUGCCAACAGCAGGUUUCACCACUGAGAGUAAAAUCUUGAGGUUGCUGAGAUAUGCAUUAGAUUCAGGAAGUAUUUUGACGUGUCAAACUGACUUGACACGCAGCAAAAAGAUCAAAUAGACAGAAAUAUUAAUAUUGAUUUAAACUUAAGAUAAAAAAAAGACUAACCUCCAAAAUAGUUUUAGUAUAAAUGUUAUGCAAAUACUGCAAAGAAGAAUUACAUUUAUAAGCAGUUGCAACAACCUUUUUUUCACACAUCAGCUAUUGUUAACCACAAACCAAAUUUAGCUUGCUUUUACAGAAGGCACAUGCUUACUGAUGAAGAUGUCUGAAGAGGUUGUCUACUCCGCUGUAAAGUUGAAGAAUAAUGGUAGAGAGUCUGCGAACACAGCAACUGAAGAGCAAAGAAAAGAUAACGAACCCAUUGGUGACGUGGAAUAUGCUGCUAUCACAUUCAGAACAAAUGAAACGCACAACCAAAGAACACAUCCAAAAGGGGGUUGUAAAUAUGUCAGGCUGGCUGUUGGCACUCUCUUUACUCUGGUUAUAAGUGUGGCCAUACUGCUGUGCAUAAUGGUUGCAGGCUCUGUAGCAGGUCAGUGCGCUGAUGGCUGGGAAUCCUUUAAUGGGACUUGUUACUACUUCUCUCAUGAUACAUUAAACUGGACUGCGAGUAGAGACAGGUGUGUCUCAGAUGGUGGCCGUCUGGUCAUCAUAGACAGCAAGGAGGAACAGAUUCUGAGAUAGAGGGACAUUGGAAGUGGGUGGACAACACUGAUCUCAAACUCAAGUAGG